rnacentral:rRNA from 4 species
AUGGAUAACCGUGGUAAUUCUAGAGCUAAUACAUGCUGGAAACCCCAACUUCGGGAGGGGUGUAUUUAUUAGAUAAAAAACCAACGCCCUUCGGGGCUUCUUGGUGAUUCAUGAUAACUUUACGGAUCGCAUGGCCUUGCGCCGGCGACGGUUCAUUCAAAUUUCUGCCCUAUCAACUUUCGAUGGUAAGGUAUUGGCUUACCAUGGUUUCAACGGGUAACGGGGAAUUAGGGUUCGAUUCCGGAGAGGGAGCCUGAGAAACGGCUACCACAUCCAAGGAAGGCAGCAGGCGCGCAAAUUACCCAAUCCCGACACGGGGAGGUAGUGACAAUAAAUACUGAUACAGGGCUCUUUUGGGUCUUGUAAUUGGAAUGAGUACAAUUUAAACCUCUUAACGAGGAACAAUUGGAGGGCAAGUCUGGUGCCAGCAGCCGCGGUAAUUCCAGCUCCAAUAGCGUAUAUUAAAGUUGUUGCAGUUAAAAAGCUCGUAGUUGAAACUUGGGUCUGGCUGGCAGGUCCGCCUCACCGCGUGUACUUGUCCGGCCGGGCCUUCCUUCUGGAGAACCUCAUGCCCUUCACUGGGCGUGUUGGGGACCAGGACUUUUACUUUGAAAAAAUUAGAGUGUUCAAAGCAGGCCUUUGCUCGAAUACGUUAGCAUGGAAUAAUAGAAUAGGACGUGCGGUCCUAUUUUGUUGGUUUCUAGGACCGCCGUAAUGAUUAAUAGGGACAGUCGGGGGCAUCAGUAUUCAAUUGUCAGAGGUGAAAUUCUUGGAUUUAUUGAAGACUAACUACUGCGAAAGCAUUUGCCAAGGAUGUUUUCAUUAAUCAGUGAACGAAAGUUAGGGGAUCGAAGACGAUCAGAUACCGUCGUAGUCUUAACCGUAAACUAUGCCGACUAGGGAUCGGGCGAUGUUCUUUUUCUGACUCGCUCGGCACCUUACGAGAAAUCAAA